GACGAACGCUGGCGGCGUGCUUAACACAUGCAAGUCGAACGGAAAGGCCCUGCUUUUGUGGGGUGCUCGAGUGGCGAACGGGUGAGUAACACGUGAGUAACCUGCCCUUGACUUUGGGAUAACUUCAGGAAACUGGGGCUAAUACCGGAUAGGAGCUCCUGCUGCAUGGUGGGGGUUGGAAAGUUUCGGCGGUUGGGGAUGGACUCGCGGCUUAUCAGCUUGUUGGUGGGGUAGUGGCUUACCAAGGCUUUGACGGGUAGCCGGCCUGAGAGGGUGACCGGCCACAUUGGGACUGAGAUACGGCCCAGACUCCUACGGGAGGCAGCAGUGGGGAAUAUUGCACAAUGGGCGGAAGCCUGAUGCAGCAACGCCGCGUGCGGGAUGACGGCCUUCGGGUUGUAAACCGCUUUCGCCUGUGACGAAGCGUGAGUGACGGUAAUGGGUAAAGAAGCACCGGCUAACUACGUGCCAGCAGCCGCGGUGAUACGUAGGGUGCGAGCGUUGUCCGGAUUUAUUGGGCGUAAAGGGCUCGUAGGUGGUUGAUCGCGUCGGAAGUGUAAAUCUUGGGGCUUAACCCUGAGCGUGCUUUCGAUACGGGUUGACUUGAGGAAGGUAGGGGAGAAUGGAAUUCCUGGUGGAGCGGUGGAAUGCGCAGAUAUCAGGAGGAACACCAGUGGCGAAGGCGGUUCUCUGGGCCUUUCCUGACGCUGAGGAGCGAAAGCGUGGGGAGCGAACAGGCUUAGAUACCCUGGUAGUCCACGCUGUAAACGGUGGGUACUAGGUGUGGGGUCCAUUCCACGGGUUCCGUGCCGUAGCUAACGCUUUAAGUACCCCGCCUGGGGAGUACGGCCGCAAGGCUAAAACUCAAAGGAAUUGACGGGGCCCCGCACAAGCGGCGGAGCAUGCGGAUUAAUUCGAUGCAACGCGUAGAACCUUACCUGGGUUUGACAUGGAUCGGGAGCGCUCAGAGAUGGGUGUGCCUCUUUUGGGGUCGGUUCACAGGUGGUGCAUGGCUGUCGUCAGCUCGUGUCGUGAGAUGUUGGGUUAAGUCCCGCAACGAGCGCAACCCUUGUUCACUGUUGCCAGCACGUUAUGGUGGGGACUCAGUGGAGACCGCCGGGGUCAACUCGGAGGAAGGUGGGGAUGACGUCAAGUCAUCAUGCCCCUUAUGUCCAGGGCUUCACGCAUGCUACAAUGGCUGGUACAGAGAGUGGCGAGCCUGUGAGGGUGAGCGAAUCUCGGAAAGCCGGUCUCAGUUCGGAUUGGGGUCUGCAACUCGACCUCAUGAAGUCGGAGUCGCUAGUAAUCGCAGAUCAGCAACGCUGCGGUGAAUACGUUCCCGGGGCU
rnacentral:rRNA from 1 species